rnacentral:tRNA from 1 species
CAAAGAAUAGUUUAAUGCAAGAAUCUUAGCUUUGGGAGCUAAGGGUAGGAGUUAAAGCCCCCUUUCUUUGA